GACGAACGCUGGCGGCGUGCUUAACACAUGCAAGUCGAACGACGUGGCGAACGGGUGAGUAACGCGUAAUCAACCCGCCCUUCAGUGGGGGACAACAGUUGGAAACGACCGCUAAUACCGCAUACUCACGGAGGGUUUUGCGUCUGAUGAGCUAGUUGGAGGGGUAACGGCCCAUCAAGGCGAUGAUCAGUAGCCGGUCUGAGAGGAUGAACGGCCACAUUGGGACUGAGACACGGCCCAGACUCCUACGGGAGGCAGCAGUGGGGAAUCGUCCGCAAUGGACGAAAGUCUGACGGAGCAACGCCGCGUGAGUGAUGACGGCCUUCGGGUUGUAAAGCUCUGUUAAUCGGGACGCGGUACCGGAAUAGAAAGCCACGGCUAACUACGUGCCAGCAGCCGCGGUAAUAC
rnacentral:rRNA from 1 species